UCGGGAAUUUUGCACAAUGGCCGAAAGGCUGAUGCAGCAACGCCGCGUGAGCGAAGAAGGCCUUCGGGUUGUAAAGCUCUGUUGCCUGCGAAGAAGGGCCCUGUCAGGAAAUGGGCGGGGUUUGACGGUAGCAGGCGAGGAAGCCCCGGCAAACUACGUGCCAGCAGCCGCGGUAAUACGUAGGGGGCGAGCGUUGUCCGGAAUUACUGGGCGUAAAGGGCGUGUAGGCGGCCUGUUAAGUCAGGGGUGAAAGACCGGGGCUCAACCCCGGGGGUGCCUCUGAAACUGGCGGGCCUGAGUGCUCUAGAGGGCAGUGGAAUUCCCGGUGUAGCAGUGAAAUGCGUAGAGAUCGGGAGGAACACCAGUGGCGAAGGCGGCUGCCUGGGGAGUCACUGACGCUGAGGCGCGAAAGCUAGGGGAGCAAACAGG
rnacentral:rRNA from 1 species